AUUUAAAAACAUAGUAUAUUGUUGUAACUACUAGUUUAUUACUCUUUUGGUUCAUGAAAAUUAAGUUUAUGUCAUCAGUGGAUGAAUUUUGCAAGAUUCACACGUACCUAUUUGGGAACUCGUGCCAUAAAUUUGCAACUGCAUUUUAUCCUUGAUUUAUUGAUUAUGCGUCACUGUUACUGGCCACUACGUGACCACCGUUAUGUUCUCGCCUUUUAAGUAUACUAAUUUAACUCAUAACAGGUUUUUACUUACUUUGUGUUCAUGUUUUUGUUUCGCACAUAGUUUAUGACGGUUCCUAGCAUGCCAGCAAAUGAAGUAGCACUAGAAAACCUUGGAUCCUUACUUCCUGCCUGCACCAAGUCCUACCUACACUAUCCUCCCUUUUAAGUUUGUCAUAAAAUACAACUGAAUUCCUGUAAACCAUUAA